GUAAAUUAACUCCCUUAACUAAAAUGUGAAAUUACAAUUUUACAAAUAUUUCAAUACCCCAAAAAGUUUUGGAGGUUGGAAAAAAACCGAUGUUGAUCCGUGAAUUUCCCCGCGUUGAAGCAUGUACAUGCAUUUGUCCACGCGAUGGCAGCCUCGCCUCGUUUGAGGCUUCAUCCUGACGCAGUUCCUGUGUAUGCUCGCCGGAUAUUUCAUUAGGCACACCUGCGCGGUCUCAAUGGCGUCCGAGAGAACACAGAUAACAGUAUUUUGAGCAGGUUGAGGAUUUAUGAAGUACUAUUUAAUAGAGGACGAAUUCAAUGCCAACAGUUGGUAUCAAAAUGGCAAAAAUGGCCUUGCAUUGGCCUUGCUAACAUGCUGGCGGCCAUGUUGAUCAUCCCCAAACGACCAUGCUGACCUGUGCAGCGACAGCGCUCGUUUCGUAGCUGUGAGAAAACAUUCCACAGAACUGUUCUCCAUCCAUCCAUUGUCUUAGCCCCUUAUCCUCACGAGGGUCGCGCGGAGUGCUGGAGCCUAUCCCAGCUGUCAACAGGCAGGAGGCGGGGCACACCCUGAACUGGUCACCAGCCAAUCGCAGGGCACAUCGAGACAAACGGGGAGAACAUGCAAACUCCACACAG